AUACCCAAAUACAUGAAUCACUUCUGUCUGAAAAAGAAUCGAGGCAAAGCGUGGACGAUUUCUGUCACAGUGAUUACACACAGACCCGAGUGUCGAGAGGGACAAAUCCACAGAUUGACAGCUUUUCUUGCGAGGCUCAUUUGGUUCGGAGGAAGCGAGUGUGCGUGUGCGCGCGGGAGAGCGCGCGCGUGUGUGUGUUUAGCUCAUAUCUCCUGUAAACCGCCGGAUUAAACGCAACGACACAAAGAAGCUAAAGAGCUUGUGACAUGUUUUUCUUACAGUGACGUUUUCCUGCUGUGAAGACGCAAGCACCAACCAUAACAUCAUCUACACAGCGGUCAGAUGAGAUGCAGAAAAUCUCCACUGAUUCUGAAGGAGAAUGGAAAGCCCUGAGGGACAGCACAUGCGCGCGCACACACACAGCUAUGUGGCCUUCAGGGAUGAUGGGAAAUCAAGAACGCUCUGUGGCUUUGUACUGGUUCAGCUCACUGAUGGUCUGAUCAGUACUGGGCAGGUUUUGUUUUCCCUGUCUUAUAAAGUGAUUGAAUUAUGUUUGGAUUAACAUCUUAACAUGCACAAGUUCCUCUAUUAAUCUAGUAUCUGUCGAAAAAUAUUAUCAAUUUCAAACACUGCCAUGUUGUUAUUUUGUGCAAAACUAAUUGAAUAAUUUAGGUCGACUAAUGAUCUAUUUUGAUCCACCGUGAAUCUCUGGUUGUUAAAGUCUGAAUUACUGGACAGAUAUUUUAUGAGCUCAGUAUGAAAACAAGAGAAUUCAAUGGAAAGACAAACAAACAGAGGCAGACCAUCACCUGAGACACACGCUAACCUCAGGCAGUCCAAACACUUGUCAUCCUGCCAUCUGUCUGACAGUUUCACUGAGAACAAAGUGAGAAAAGAUUUGAGAGAGAGAAACAGAGAGAGAGGGCGAGCGAGCAAGAGAGCGCUGAGCGAAGCAGAAAAAUCAACGACAGCCUUAAAAAAAUGAGUGUGAUUAUGUACAUCAUGGAGUCAGCACUCUGCUUGUGUUAUCAGUAAGCACCUUUACAAGAAAACGUGCUGCAGGACGACCACACACACACACACACACACACACACACACACACACACACACACACACACACACACACACACACACACACGCACGCACACACACACACACACACACACACACACACACACACACACACACACACACACACACACACACACACACACACACACACACACACACACACACACACGCACAAACACACACAAACACACACACACACA